AGUGAACGCUGGCGGUAGGCCUAACACAUGCAAGUCGAACGGCAGCACAGUAAGAGCUUGCUCUUACGGGUGGCGAGUGGCGGACGGGUGAGGAAUACAUCGGAAUCUACUUUUUCGUGGGGGAUAACGUAGGGAAACUUACGCUAAUACCGCAUACGACCUACGGGUGAAAGCAGGGGAUCUUCGGACCUUGCGCGAUUGAAUGAGCCGCUGUCGGAUUAGCUAGUUGGCGGGGUAAAGGCCCACCAAGGCGACGAUCCGUAGCUGGUCUGAGAGGAUGAUCAGCCACACGGGAACUGAGACACGGUCCAGACUCCUACGGGAGGCAGCAGUGGGGAAUAUUGGACAAUGGGCGCAAGCCUGAUCCAGCCAUACCGCGUGGGUGAAGAAGGCCUUCGGGUUGUAAAGCCCUUUUGUUGGGAAAGAAAAGCAGCAGGUUAAUACCCCGCUGUUCUGACGGUACCCAAAGAAUAAGCACCGGCUAACUUCGUG
rnacentral:rRNA from 1 species